rnacentral:lncRNA from 1 species
UCCUUUCUCUACUCUUCUCACGUAAAUUGAAUAUAAUAAUGACGUAGCUAACACUUUAUAGUCGACAUAAUGAGCCUAUUGAAAGAACAUAAUAAAAAACGCAUAACAAACUCGUAAAGUGUAUAUAUCACCAACAUAAAAGAGUGGUAAACUAAACAUAACGAUGAUGAAUUCAACUAUUCGUAAGGUUGAACGUAACAACGACAUAACGAGUCCGUAAAAUAGUCAUAUUAGUGACAUAACAUGCUGGUACAAUGACCACACUAAUGUGAUUUUUUUGUGUCGAAACUACCUUAUUCAAGUCAAUUCGUUUGACUCACUUUCAGCCGUUGGAUGAGAGUUGACCCAAAAAUAGCCUGAUCCAAUGGUCCAUUAUCUAUCGGGACAAUCUCUCGAAACCGCCUCUCGGACCAAUAGUCAAGGUUUGGGGAUUGAAGGUAGGCGUGACACCUAGUCGGGAUGAUGACAGAUAGUCUAUCUUUGUACCUUCUUCGUUUUCGUGAUUUCUGGAAAAAAAACAAUGUUUCACAUUUAGUUGCUAAAACAUAAUUAGGUCUGAAAGAUCUAAAACAUAAUAUGAUGAGCAACAAUUCCACUUAAAAAAUCAAAAAGGAUUAGUACCUAAACAAAAUAGAUCCAGAUCUAAAAUAUAAGAUUUAAAUCAGAUUUAAUCUCCACUUAGAAGAACAAAACGGGUUAGUCCUAGAAAAAAUAGAUCUGGAUCUAAAACAUUAGAUCUAAAUCACAUCUCGAUCUAAAACAACAUCAGAUUUUAAAAAGAAACACAGAUUUGAAAAGAAGUUUUACCUCGUAAAAAUCUCCACCGUGUUUUGUUGUUUCUCCAUCAACCUUCAUUAUCGUCUCUUUCUUUUUUAUCAAUUUUNNNNNNNNNNNNNNNNNNNNNNNNNNNNNNNNNNNNNNNNNNNNNNNNNNNNNNNNNNNGAAAUUUUAAUAGUUACGAAGAAGUUUGGAUUGGCGAAAGAGGAGAGAAGGGAAAGUAAAAGAGGAGAAAAGGGAGAGAAUGUUUAGAAGAGAGAAGGUGGAGGCAUAGAAAAUGAGAACGAAGGAGAGAGAAUGAAGUGAAUUUUCUAAAUAUAUAUGAGGUUAUUUGAUAUGUGAUAUUAUGAAUAAGGAUAAUAGUAUUUUUGCUCUUUUUACUUUACCAAGUUAACAACAAAGUCUCUAUACUAUUAAAUAUUAUUUUUAUCCACUUCUACUUAACCAGCUUGCUAAACGUCUCCUUUUGUUACUCUAUUAGUUAUCUUGUAGUUAUUUUUCGUCUAAUCAGUAUUGCCACAUCAUCCCGGAUGACAGGUAGCUUUUUAGUAUGAUAAUUAUGCCUUGUAUAAUUUUAUUUCUUACAAUAAUUUUCAAUAAGCAAGAUUUACCCGAAUAAGUAUCUUUCUCUUUCAUCUCCGGGCAAUUAAUCUUUCUGCUUAAUUUGCAGCCGCAACCGCAACCCCUCAGCCCAAGACCGGGAAGGCGGCGACCUUUCAUCGAGUUGAAUCGUAUUCCUCCUCCACUAGUUCCUUCUUCAUCUAGUUAAAUAUAAGAAUCUUCCCCCUUCAAGUUGAAUAUAAUUAUCUCCCUCCUUCAUCAAAGUAGAAUUAGUUUUGUCGUCAACCAUCAACCAAUUCGAUUCCACCCACCUUCAACAUUAAUGCACUUGUUGGCCUCCACAAAAGUCAUGCUCUGUUCGAAAAUCGACUCAAAUUAGAUUUGUUGACUCCACUCUUUGGAGCUACCCAAUUAAUCAAAUGGCGAACCCUCUGUGCAGUUUUCCCUCCAUGAACGAUUGUUAUGAUAAGGGGUUUAAUAUUAGGGUUUCUUUGUGUCGGGAGAUUUCUCGAUUCGACCAAAAUCUUGGAAAGGUUAGGGAUCGGAGAAAGAUGAAAACAAAUAUGGAGCUCCCAAAAAUUUGGAAAGGUUAUAGAUUUGUUUGAAUGAGGAUAAAUGAUUGAGAAUGAGUGAGAUAGUGGGUAGAAGGCUGACUCCAAAGUAAAAUGAAGUUGGAGGCAAACAGAAGGUGAAACACAGGCGGUGAGAAUGAGAUGCAGGAGGGGAGAGAAUGGUACCUAAUAUGAAAAUAUAACUUUACAUUAGGGUUAAAAUAGUUAUGACCGUGAAAAUAAAUUUUUUAUUAAAAAUUAAAAAUUAACAAGGUUAAUUAUCACACUCAUUAGCCACGUGUCAUCAGUAUGAUGUGUGACAAUGCUAAUUAGGCGAUAAAUAACGGCAAGACAACGAAUGGAGUAACAGAAGGAAACGUUUAGCAAGUUGAUAAAGUAGGAGGGAGAAAAAAUAAUUUUUAAUAAUAAAAAGGCCUCUUUAUUAAGUUGGUAAAAUAGAAGAAAUAGAACUACCAUAAUACAAAAAAAAUAUUAUAAAAAAAAAAAAAAAAAAAAAAAAUGAUACUUUGACAUUCCUGUGAACUAUGUAUACUGCCAGGUAAUUGUUCCUGACUUCAUUCCUGAUCGUCUGUUUUCUUUACAUAGUUGCUGGAUCCUCUGUUCUUUAUGUAGCCUAUAGUGCAUCUUUGAUUAGCUAAAGUGGCAAGUUCAGUACAUUCCCUAAACCCUGAUUCAACCCAAAUUUGGCAAGGAGAUAUCAAGAAAUGAAAAUGGAAAUCGAAAAAUUAGAGAUGCUUUGAUACAAUGUGAACAAAAUAAACAAUGUUCAUUCCAUUAACCAAAGCGUGAGAGUACAAUGGAGAGAUGUCCAAAGUACAUAGGGAGUGCUAUUACAAAAUGAUAUCUGUAGUCUUAUACUCUAACAUCAUGGUUCAUCUUUAAUGAACAUCCCCUAUGAGAUGGCUUUCUUCUGUUUGUACUUCAUCGAGCUAGAGACAUAGACUACCAUGUUCGCCAAGCUUAACACGGCCAACAACCAGAAGAAAUAAUCGACAUGCCCUUCGUUCAAAUUAUCCGGAAUCCAUCCUGGCUUCCCACCCUUUGUGGUGAAAUAAGCGACCAUGGUGAGGAUGAAAGAGCUUAGGUAGUUACCCAGAGAGAUGGUCAGGAGCGCUAACGCACUACACAAGCUUCGCAUUGCAUCUGGAGCUUGUUCGUAGUAGAACUCAAGUUGUCCAAUGAAUGUGAAGACCACUGCAGCACCUACCAGCGUGUACUGGGGAAUUUGCCAGAAGAUGCUAAGUGGCACGGGAACAGCUUUGUCGGUUAGUCCAAGCUCGUUGGCGAGCUGUAGACGCUUGAUCUCGAUGAGAGCAGCUGCAGCCAUGGCGAGAAUUGAGAAUAGAAGGCCGAUUCCCAUACGUUGCAGCUCUGAGAAGCCUCUACCAUUUCCUGUGAACUUCCUGGCGAUUGGAACAAUGAUUGCUUCGUACACGGGCACCCAGAUAAUGAUACUGAUGACUUCGACUGUUGAUAGAGAAGCUGGAGGAAUUCUGAAAGAACCAAUUGUCGAAUCCAUUAGCAUCCCCUGCUCCACAAACAUUGUCGACAUCUGGGCGUAGACUGCAGAAAAAACGAUCCCUGUGGCCCAGAUGGGGAACAUUCGAAUCAAUAUUUUCAGCUCUUCAACUUGUGUCACCGUACAAAGCCUCCAGGAAUUAGAGAAGUCCCCGGUUUUCAACUCCGCAUCUGACAGUACAGAAGCUCUAUCGAGACACCUGCAGAAAGACAAGGGUUCGCAUGAACAUACGUCAACCUCCAACCAGUUUUUUGGUGGUUAGAUUUAUUACGUUUGAAAGAAUCUAUACGUUCUAAUGUAAUCCAAGAAAUGAAGUGAUGGAAGCAAUUGAUGAGAAAAGUAUUUAACAUGUGAGCAACGAGGACGAGAACUUACUUGAGCUCAUUAGUGUGCUCCAGUUUACGGCUUCCUUCAACCAUAGAUCUCUCAGCUUGUGUUUCAUACAAGAGGGUGUAAUCAGAAGGGACCUCCAUGUUCCACUUAUAGAAAGAUGCAACCAAGACCUGACACAUUCUUGUAAUGGGGCUUCGCCCAGGUUUCUGGCAUCUGUAGAGCGGGGUGCCAAAAAAGAAACUUGCUAUAGCAAUGCCCAUAAAUAUGGCAGGCACGCCAAAACCUAGAGCCCAACCUACAUUAUCUUGAAUGUAAACGAUUAAAGUGCUUGAAAUAAGGGCACCUAUGUUGAUGGUAAAAUAAAACCAGUUGAAGAAGGAACCCUUAUUCAACUUCUCUCCGGGGUUAGUAUCAUCAAACUGGUCAGCACCAAGAGUUGAAACACAAGGUUUGAUGCCACCUGUCCCAAGUGCAAUCAGAUACAGACCGAAGUAGAACACUGCAUACUGGGGCACAGUUGCUGGAGGACAUAGAGAACCGACGCAGUCUGAAGGCAUCAAUGCUGCCGAAAGGGUCAAUGUACACAUCCCCUAAUGCCAAUUAAGAAAUUUAAGUCAUUAAACAUGCUUCGAUCGAAUCAAACUUUACAUGUGCACAUGAUAUUCUUUCCAGUCCAAAAGGUGAGCAACAAAAUGAAAUUAACUAAUUACACUCAUGAUGGAGAAAGAGAAACUGAGAAUGAGCAGUACUAAGUUCCAUUAAAAGACUCACAAAGAAGUAAAUGGUUGAGAAAACAGCAAUGGUCCAAUAUCUCCCCCAAUAUGCAUCUGCAAGUACAGCUCCAACGAGUGGUGCAAUGUAGCAAGUGCCGGACCAUGUUGUAACAGUUCUUGCAGCAGAUACAUUUCCUUCGUGCAUGUUUGUGGUGAGAUAAGUUACAAGAUUCGUAGCAAUCCCAUAGUAGGCCAACCGUUCACAACACUCCAAUCCUGCAUAUCUUUGCUGUGUCAAAAGACUAAUCAAAUAAUAGACAAAAAUAAAGAAUCACAUAGUACCAAGGAUGAAAAGGCAGGCUCUCCAAUUUCCAGUGUUGUGCUUCAGAACAGCCUGCCCACUGAUGUCGAUUGAUCCAUCUCCAGUGUGCUGUCCACUACGCUCAACCUGGAGAAGUUGAAAAUGUGUUAGAAGUUACAAGGUAACAGAUGUAUCAUCAUUCCGAAGGACAUAGAUGAAAACAAGCACCUUUAUGGACUAACUUAACAAUUCUGUUUCUACUCGAAACUCGUUAAUGGUGUCAUUGUGCCUCGCAAAAUUGGUAAACCAAACACAAGAGAUACGCAAUCCAUCAAUGCACUAAUUCAAAAUCAUGAUAUCUGGGUUGUUACUUGUUUGGUAUGAGGAUAUUGAGUGCUAUUAACAUCUAUAGCACCUAAGAGCUAACUAUUCGAAAUAUCAACGUUUUUCUUGCUAUGUCUAUUGAGCGUUCCUUUGAAAAUAAAUAUCACCCGAUAGAUAUCCACCCAACCUUUCUAAUAACCCUUCCCUUAUUAUGAACCAUCGAAUGAAUCAUCAAACCUUUUAUCACUAAACUUUUCAAUAUGAUGUCCAAUACGGUUUUGAAAAGUGGAACCCGCCACCCCCCACGUCUCCUGUUGUCAAAAUCCAUCCAAAUUGAUUGGUCAUAGAAACCCAAAUUGAUUGGUCGUUUUGAAACCCAGCUCACCCUUCACAGUUAUGAUUUUGUUCAAACUUUCUUCAAUUAAAGCGCAGAAUUGCAGGCUAAGGGGGUUCUGGAUUAAUCUCCAAUCGCAGACAAUGUUCAAGUGAAGGAAACAAGGAGUAAGCUCCAACUAACCAAAUCAAGUCUCACCCUUUAAAACACGGGGCGAACUCUUCCCAUGUUCAGUCAGUAUACAGUGAACCGGCAGAUGAAAAUCGCAGAGUAAGGGAGUUUGAUUUCUCUCUAGCAUCAUGGAUAUCAUUAUAUUCUAGAUAAACCAUACCAAUCGACCCCGAUAUUUAAUGCCUCCAAAGCAAUGAGCAAUAUUAUAUGCUAAAUUUGAGAGGGAUCCUCUUAUUCCAGAACAUUUCAUGCUAGAAUAACACUUUAGAUCCACAUCUUACUAUUUUAGUAUCACUGUGCUGCAUUUUACAGGAUUACAAACAAAUUUUGGACUGGACGAAUAUAUAUGUUUGUUCUUACUGUUACUUUUUGCAGGUUAUCGUGUAAACUAAGACAACAGACACACUGGUGAACAAGAUAGGUAAGCAUUUUCAAGUACAGCCUCCAAAACAGAGUCUACAAAACUCAAUUGAGGAAUCUGCAGAUAUUCAUUGGAAUACUACAAGCUAAAGUCUGAUGGAAUCUCUGUCUUGAAUUAGUAAAAUCAUACAAACAAAUAAUAAGGAGUUGGAGAGUUGUUUGAGAACCUGAUCAUUUUGAGAGGAAUGACCGUGUUCGAGAAGCGAUGCUUGCUCCCCCGCCGAAGCCAUGGAUUUGUUCCUCAAAGCCUUAUUUUCUCCGUUGGAAGAGGAGCAAGGAGACGUGAUAGCUCGGGGGNNNNNNNNNNNNNNNNNNNNNNNNNNUGGUUGUUCAUGAUGUAUCAUCCCAUUAAUAUUUAAGACAAUAACAAGACUUUCAAAUUUUAUUGGAAUGAAUUUUUUUUUUAAUAAAGAUGAAGGUUUUCAAAUUUUAUUGGAAUGUAAAAAUAGUACAUCACAUCGUAUGAAACUCAACCCUAAAUACAAGAUUGACCCCUUUAGGAGCCGAUUAUUAUAUUUUUAGAAUAAUUUUGUCCGAACGAAAAUAUCUUCUAAAAUGAGUCUGCCAUUUUAUAAAUCGUCAAAUGUAAUAUUGUAGUACUAUUAGAGCUUAUGGAAAGCAAAGAGAAUCUGUGAUUGUAUUUCAUUUUUUUUAGUGAUUGUAUUUCGUUGAAAGUGGAAAAAGUGAGAGUAACAAGUCUAGUCUCAAGGCUUUAUACACCAAGGGCCUGUAACGGACUGCUAACAACUUCUACUAAUUGACUAAACAAACAAAGUAAACGGGCUCCGGCCUAAUCGAAAUCUAAUAUAUACGUUGAAAAAAGAGGGAGGGGUUUUCAAGUUGUUUGUUUGUGUAUUUUUGUAUCGUUUUGGGAUAAACAACGAGUCAAAUUUAGAGUACUUAAUAGUAAUAAUUUUAUGUAUAUGUUUUAAUAUUAAAUUUAAAUAUUUUUGUACUCGUAUUAUAACAUAUAUUGAAAAUCAACCAAUACCAAAUUGAUCGUUUAAAUUCAUUAAAUUGUAUAAUUGGAAGAAUAGAAAUCUGCCUAUUUGAAAGGGCUCUAAAUUAGCACAUUACCCCUUUACUUUACCAAGUUAACACAUAUCCCUCUAUACUACAAAUCUGAAAAAUCAAUAAGUAACCCCUUCGGUUACUAUUUCCAUUAGUAUGUCGUUAAAUCUGAAAAAUCAAUAUGACACGUCACCCCACAAAAAACCAUGUGUAUAAUUAUGACUUAUUAUUUUAGUUUUUUUUACCAUUUUAAAUCAUUAAAACGUUAUGUCAUUUGUCCCGCAGAAGGAGCUUAGCGACGUCGGAUUAUCCUCACCUUUAAUUUAGAUGAUUUGAUAUGAAUCAUUGAAUCAGAAGGAAAUCUCAUCUAAUGACCUAGAUUUAUAGUACUUAUAUGACCUAGAUUUAUAGUACUACAUCUCGCCGAUGAAGACCACGACGAGGAUUCAAUAGGCGGCGGUUUUGGGAACGGCGACUAAAGCGGAGGGGGAAUCUUCGGGUUUGGUUGGUGUGGGGGGAAUCAUGGAGUUCGGUUGGUGCGAAAGGAAUCAUCGAGUUCGGUGGGGGAAUCAUCGGGGUUGGCGGGGAAUCUAUCGGAUCUAGCUUCCUGAAAUUGGUUUUGGGUUUCCACUGUCCAAUAGACUCGAUUCUGGGUUUACAAGGUCGGAUCUAGCUUCCCAAAAUCACGAGUUCGGAGGAAUCUACAGUUAAGGUUUCGAAGGGUUGUCUUCCAAUAAAACGAUUUCUGAUUUGGGUUCCAAUUAUCUCUAAUAUUCAUCUUCCCUAACGUUGCAGAUAUAGCUUUUCAUUGAACGAAUUUGGAGGAUUCAACAGCUAAUAAAUCGCAGGUUUGUUUUCCGAUUUGGGUUUCAUGCAUCCUUAAUAUUCAACCUAAUUUUGCAGGUCUAGCUUUCAAUUGAACGAGUUCGGAGGAAUCGAAAACUAAGGAAUUGCAGAUUUGUCUUUCAAUUCAACGAUUUCUGAUUUUGGUUUCAUUCAACCUUAUUUUUCAACCUAAUAAUGUAGUAGCUUCUGGGUUGCAAUGGGAAGUUUUAUGUAAUCCAGUAGAUGCUGCGUUGCGUUAAAUUUGUUUUGUUUAUUUAUAAAGUUUUAUGUAAUCCAAAGCUGUUGAUUGAUGCUGCGUUACUUAACUAUUGAACUUGACUAGUACUUGAAAUAACCAGUUCUGCAGUAGUAGCGUUUUUAUAAUUAUUCACAUAGUCGUACAUUCUUGUCUUAUUGACAUAUCUUUGGAUGUAAUGACAACACUACUACUUGGAUGGAGUAUUGUUUUCUUGAUUGUAACAAAUAGUUCUAUUUGUGCAGCUACAGAUUGAGGAUGUUUGAAUUAGAUUAAGAUUCAUUCCGUUUAUGUAUUAUUUUGAUAAAUUUUUGUCGUAAGAUAAUCUGGACAGAAAAACUGGCUGAGAUUGGAAAGCUAGCAUCCUUUGUGAUUCGAUGUAACCCGAAUAGGAUUUUGACUGUGAUGGGUAUUCCUCCAAGUAACGAAUAGCUGGAAGCAAUAAAGAAAUUUGGUUUCUAUGGAAUUACAGACGUAACGAUUAAACAAAUCAGUGAAGAUUUUAUGCAGUGAAUUAUAAAUAUAUAUGAUGAAGAAACCAAACAAUUUGUGAUAGGGAAUGGAAAAACAUUGAAGCUUACCGGAGAACUAAUCCAUAGAAAUUGACUAUUGUAACUUGUUCACUGACUAAGAUUACACCAUACCUAGUCCUGUCAAUCACAAAAUAGUUCACUCAAGCAGAACUAUUUCAAUACAUCACAAACCUUAUCAUUGAUGGCAUCCUCACGACAGUCUGAACGAAUUCGUCAAUACUGUUAUGAAUCGGAAUUUCGUCUGUAAUAUGAGUUGGACUGUCGAGCUCGACAUCAAGAAGGGAAUUAAAAUUAAAAAUACUUCUCUCGAUGCAUAUAACCCGUUUAUAAGUUGCACCUCCCACAUUACCGCUUAUACCGCAUAAGUAAUAAUUGUUUUAUUUUGAAAUAAAAGCUCGUAUGCUAAAAAAAACACUAAAAAUCCCAACUCAAUCAAACUCAUUUACAUUCCUAACUACAACAUUAAUACUUUGAUCUGUGCCAUCUAAAUAACUAAGCUGCCGGUAGUGUUCUAUUAUGUGGCCCGUCUACAUCUAUUGGUAGCCCUAUUGAUCAUGUGAUGAUGCAUCAUCCCAUUAAUAUUUAAGACUUCCCUACCAAAAUCUCAACUGUAAAAUUACCAUAUAUAUAUAACAUAUCAAGCCUGCUUUGUUCCACGUCGCCCAUUUGGGUUCCAAACAUUACAAGAUUGUCGGUGUUAGAGGUAGGGACUUCAUUAAAUAAUAAUGAACCUCGCCAUGAAGAUUGGAGUGUAACUCCUACCUACCGCCUCACAAUUCAGUUGAGUUUGACUUGUUUUUUUGUUUCUUUCUAUUUUUGUAUGUGGAAAUCUCUGUCAGUUUUCUGUGACUUUCUAUUUGUAGCAAUAACUUAGGUUUGUGACUUGAAAGUCAAAACUGAUUUGAGUGGACGGAUGGUAGAUCCCAGUCCACUUGUGUUAUGAACAUAUAUGGCUAUUGGUUGUUUAUGAUGUAUCAUCCCAUUAAUAUUUAAGACAAUAAUAAGAUUUUCAAAUUUUAUUGGAAUAUAAAAAUAGUACAUUACAUUGUAUGAAACUCAACCCUAAAUACAAGACUGACCCCUUUCGGGGCCGAUUAUAUUGAACUAGCAAAAAGUUAAACCGAAUUUAGUAAAAGUUGUCACCUAAAUCCGCUAAAUGUCAGUACCAUAUGCUAAUGCUUUUUGGCCUCCCCUAUGUAUGGGGCUUAAAAGGGUAAACACGUCAAAAUGGUGAUAACGAACAUAAUUGAAAACGAACGUACAUAUAUAACAGCCUUAUUAUAUUAUAUAGUUUCCCCUCUCUCUCCAUUUCAAAAUUUCUUUCCUCUCUCUAUUUACUUUCUCCCCAUUUUUUCUCUCAUGUUUUGUUUGAAUGAAUGUUUGAUUUUGGGUUUGUGAUUAACGUUUUUAAGCGUUAUUAAAAUAAUCCGAUUAAUAAAUUAACCGGAGUCGAAUCUCACUAGGGUCUCAAUGUCGUGACUACUCAAAGUUUAUGAAAAGUGUUAAUCGAUUAAACAGGUUUUGUGUUGUAGGUUCCACAAAUUUCUAAGUCUAUCAAUUAUUCAAAUGACAGGGAAAAUAACACAAGGAUGUAAGACUGCACGAUAUAAGGUUUGAACCAAAUGGGAGAAAACGGGUUAGACUUCGAAUCCCACUAGAUUAUCUAAAUUCACAAAUGACACACAAAUUCAGCGAUUUAAGUAAAACAAGAUAGAUUCACUUCACCGUCGCAGUUCUUCUCUAAUCAAAUCACGCCCUUUUGGGUCCAAUAAUCUGCUACUUAUCUACUAUCUCAGUCCGAUCUUUCAAGAAAAAGAUCUAAAAGAUUAUGUGAAUUAUGAGGAAGAGCUGAGCUUUUAUAGAGAAAGAUUCCUUAAGUCUGACCGGCUACCAAAGGUGCGUUGUACGCGGACCAAAAGUGCGCCACGCACUUUAGGUCAUUUUAUAUCGCACUUUCGGUCAUAUUUAUAACCUUUGAAUUCUAAAGUUGUAGAAAAUUAAACUAGCUUUCCCAUUCUUGCGGCCUUGCAUCAAUUGGACUUAUAAGUUAGGAUAUAUGUUCAAAAUACGAAACUGCGACGUUUUCCGACCAAGUCGAAAUCCAAACUCUUUGAUGGAUUCAAAAUGCUUCCCAUUGCUUGUCCUAGACCAUUCACACACCGUAUCACUCCGAUUAAUAUCUCGACAUCGUCAUUUACUUGAUAUUUAUAAAGACACUAAAAAACGACAUCAAAUGGACCCCGACCGGGUCCGAGAUACUAAAUUGAGACAAAGACUUAAAAUGCAUCAAAUAUCCUAAACUUCUACCUAAAAUAAUAUAUUAUUUAAUAUUAAUAUUUAAUAUUCUCUCACCCCUUAAAUGUGUGCAUAAUGAAUACAAACGUAUGCUUUUUAGACCUCUCACAUCUUCUUUUUUGUGUCAGAACAUUUAAUGUCUCUCUUCUUUCAGAUUUGUAAGAAGAAAAGGCAAAUUAUUAUAAAAAACGCACACAAAUUUUGCCAAAUUAUAUCUAAAAUACCCUUGGAUCGUACAAAUGUAUAUUUCCCAACUUCGUGUUUUCUCCCUAUAUAAUGGACUACUAAGAUGAAUUUGAACACUUAUUUGUAGUGGUACUGAAGCUCACUUCAUCAACAAAAUGUGAGUUUUAGGUUGCGGGUGCAGUUCGGGUUUGGUCCCUUUGAAAUGUAGGCAUCACUCAAUUAGUCGCAUUUGGGUCGAAAUCCAUGUCUAAGCCCAACUGAUUCUGUCAGCCCACUCCUAAGCGACUGAUUUGGCCGGCCCAGUUCUAAACAAUGACACAACAUAAUAUAUUUAGCCCACCUAUUCUUUUCAUUUUGGCAUCCCCAUCCACCCUAUAUAAUAUAUACCACACUUCAUGAAAACGAUCGCUCUCUCUCCUUUGUAGUUUCCCCCAAAUAAUCGUCUCUCUACAAGGCACGCACCAGUACUCUCCAAACAAUGCCAAAUGACAACAAUAAAAGUCCCAGAAGUGGAGCUUAGCAGCGGCCGGAAGAUGCCGGCGAUCGGAAUGGGGACGGCAAUCAUCCCAAUCCCGCCGUCGGAGACUCUGGUAUCCGCCUUCCAGGACGCCAUUCGGGUAGGGUACCGCCACUUCGACACGGCGUCUCUGUACGGGACGGAGGAUAGCCUGGGGAGAGCGGUGGCGGAAGGCGUGGAGAAGGGACUCGUCAAAAGCCGCAACGAGUUGUUUAUGACUUCCAAGCUCUGGGUCACCCACACCCACCCCGAUCUCGUCCUACCGUCCCUCCAAUCCACUCUCCGGUGAUCUAAUUUUUAAUGCAUUCAAUUAAAAUCCAUAUAUCGUCAACAAAUGCAAUCACUUUGUGUUUUCCUUUUGAUUACUCGAUCUUGCUCUCUAUUUUUCUUUUUUUGU